rnacentral:tRNA from 37 species
GGAGAGAUGUCCGAGUGGUUUAAGGAAGCAGUCUUGAAAACUGCCGUACGGCAACGUACCGUGGGUUCGAAUCCCACUCUCUCCGCCA